UUCAUUUUCUCGGGAUCCCUCCCGAUCCAAAUCCUCCCCGACAGCCUCCCUCAUCUUGCGCGGUUGACCAAUCGGGUCGCCCGAGCCCCGAGCUCCUCCGCUAUUCCCUGCCCGAGAUCCUCGCCGCGCCAGUAUCCUCGGAGGCCCGAGCCUCCCCGUGCUCCUCCACCUCGCCUCGUCUCCGGCCACCUCGCCUCGCCGCCGGCAACCACCACCAACAGAUGAGCCCCGUCGCCCUCUGCCUUCGUCCUGCACCGCCAGCAGCAGCAGCGCCCCGCGCUCAUCACCUCGAGCCAGGAGCCCCUCGUUUGAGCGCCAACCGCCUCCUCCCGCUCGUCACCUCACCGCCUCUCCGCACGCGCGCCUCCCUCCGGUCGUCGACCGCCCUGCCGCUGGAGCUCGCCGGAGCAGCCUCCCGCCAGGAGCCCAUGGCGCCAUCUCCAUGGAGCCAAGUCGCGCCGCUGGAGCCCCAUCCCUGCGCCCAGAUCCGCCGGACCCUGCCGUUCCAGUCCCGUUCCGAUCGAUCCCCGACGAGGCCGCCUCGCCGGAGCUCCUGCCGCAUCACGCCGCAUGCACCGCCGCUGCCGCUGCGUCCUCUGCUUCUUCUGCAACGAGCAGGAGCAGCUGGCUCGUCGUCCCGUUGACCGCGCCCCUGGCCAACUCCAUCAGGGCCGCUCGGCCUCAAGCCAGCCGGCCUUCUUCCCCUGCCACCUCACCGACCUGGGCCUCAGCCCGUGAGUUGUGAGGAUUCGUUCGACCACGUCCGCUUGUCUUCUUCAUGGACUCGUUCUUCUUC